rnacentral:rRNA from 1 species
UUGAACGCUGGCGGCAUGCUUUACACAUGCAAGUCGAACGGUAACAGGCCGCAAGGUGCUGACGAGUGGCGAACGGGUGAGUAAUGCAUCGGAACGUGCCCAGUCGUGGGGGAUAACUACUCGAAAGAGUAGCUAAUACCGCAUACGAUCUAUGGAUGAAAGCGGGGGACCGUAAGGCCUCGCGCGAUUGGAGCGGCCGAUGUCAGAUUAGGUAGUUGGUGGGGUAAAGGCUCACCAAGCCAACGAUCUGUAGCUGGUCUGAGAGGACGACCAGCCACACUGGGACUGAGACACGGCCCAGACUCCUACGGGAGGCAGCAGUGGGGAAUUUUGGACAAUGGGCGCAAGCCUGAUCCAGCAAUGCCGCGUGCAGGAAGAAGGCCUUCGGGUUGUAAACUGCUUUUGUACGGAACGAAACGGCUCUGGUUAAUACCCGGGGCUAAUGACGGUACCGUAAGAGUAAGCACCGGCUAACUACGUG